CUCCUAUCCUCCUUGUUCCCUGUCAGGAGCUGGGAAGCUUGCAAUCAUGGCUGGAAUUUUGCUUUCUUUCUCCAGAGCCCGCAGGCUGCUUCAGAGGGCCUGAUUAGCACUGUAGAUAUUCUUCAUGCGAGGCUCCUAUCAGCAAACCGAAGGCACAACCCUCAGACAACAGCCCUCAGACACCCGCCUGCCAGCGCUACAGCUGACAGGCUGUGCCAUAAUAGCUUCUCGCUGUUACAGCUCUCCCGGCUCUCCAAUUAAAACUAAAAGGAAAAAAAAAAAAAAGAAAGGAAAAAAAAAAAAGGGAGGAGAAGGGAAGAAAGGAAGCUUUCUGCAUACUAAACACUCUCUGUUCUUCAAUGUGGGCACAAGGAUAUUUCUAGCUGUUCCCCAGGAAUGGUGAGGUAGAAUUGAAGCCGGACAGCAGGAGUGGAGGCUCUGAAGGCAGUGGGCGAGCCUUUGGUUUACCCCUGGGUGCCACCAACAGCAAGCAAGAGGCUCCCCUGAGCUGGACCCCUGGGCGAGGCUGAGCCAAGGGUACCCACUGCAACAACACAAGUCCAAGAGGAGAGAUCCCAGAACAAAGUUAGAAUGGGUGCAAAGUAAAAGAAAGGGUAAGGCUCUUAUAAAUAUAUAUAUAUAUAUUGUGAUAGUUCUUUCACUCUUUCCUAACUCUCCUAUUGUUUGGGUUUGCUUGUGAUUUACAGCAGUCCAGGAUAAAGGAGCCCUGAGCACUCUUUAUGCCACACAGAGUGCCGGCUGACAGAGCGUAAUGCCAGUGGUGGUGGUUUGGCACCAUCCUCCAGGAGGUGAAGGCCCCAUGGGCUGGUCAGACAGGGCACACGCAGCACGCUUCUGCAGGCCUUCAGGCAGGAGCUUGUGCCACCAUUUCCAUCCAGAGCUGCCUUUUCUCUCCCUCCCGCAUUUCCCCUUGUGUCUGACUCUCCAGGCCAGCUGUCUCACUGCAAGUCUGGCUGUCUUUUCUUAAAAAAAAAAUAGUGCGAUUUAUUUGGGAUGUACACACAAGUGCAAAAUUUGCAUAUAAACCUAACUGCCAAGAAAUAAAAACAUAUUCAAAAUCAGCCAAUUCCACUGAUGAGAGCAUGAUGCUUAGCAUUCCUGAAUACAUUGAGUAAAUUAUACGUGCCGCACUAUUCAUGCGUUGCCUGACUAUAAGAUUUACUCAUGCAAACAGCCACAGAAACAACAUAAUAAGAAAUCUGUGGUGUAUUUUCAGAAGGCAGGUAUUUUAGCUGAGGAGCGAGCCUGACAAUGGGGUUUGUAACCCAGGAAAGCAGGAAUCUACUGCUUGUUUGGAUGCCUGACUGGAGCCCAGGACAGCUAUCAAGCGUCCCAGGCAGCCCAGAUCUCACUAUAUUUCAAAAAUACUCUUUUUCCCUUUCUCCCACACUUUUUUAUCUGCCUUAAUGUGGGGAUUACUUCAGUCCAUCUAUUUGGUGCCCACAGCAACACCCCAUUGGUGCUCUUCGGUCCCGCAGUCACACAGAUAAAAGUGAUCCAUGCAGUUGUUACUAAAUAGGUAUGGAAGCGUUUUCAAGAAGCUCUCACCAAAAAUAGCCACCAAAACCUCACCUGAAAUAUUUGGUUGCAUUUAUAGUUGGAAUUACUAACUGUUUUGCAAGCUCAUAGGCUUGCUGAAAGGCUACACUGUGCCUGAGGAUUUGAUGCCUAUGGUAAACGUCAUAGGAUCAUAGAAUCAUUUGAGUUGGAAGGAAUCUUUAAAGGUCAUCUAGUCUGAGAGUCCCUUUUAACUAUAUCCUAUACAACUGAUGCAAAACUGAGAGGUAGGCUUGCUUUGAAGUGACAAGUCAACUUUAAACCAAAAUCCAACUAAAUGAGGGGGCUGAAAUUCCUUCCACUCUGGUUUAUCAUGGUGAUGAACUGGACCAGAAUCUAUGCACACAUUGCCUAGCCAGAGGUGAAGAAGGAAAGAUGUGGACUUACGAGAGGUUCCAAAAGAAUGACAGAAAUCACAGAGCAGAGACUUGUGCUAAUGUACACAGCACAGGCAAAUGGACUAAAGGAUGUUUGCUGCAAUUAUCGUUGGUGGACAUAAGAGUUACAGAGUGGCUGAACAGAAUUCUCCUGCUUAACAAAGGAAGAGAUGAUUUCAUUACGAAAAAAUACAUAUGACAGAAGUGCAGAGGAUUUCAGAGGGAAGGAAGUGAAGACUGAUGUGACCAUUAAUUCGUUCUCUGGACUGGUCAGAUCGUCAAUAACCUAACCCCACCUUGUGGUUGUUCUGGAGUCGUUUGCUUGCUUUGCUCAUUAGGCUGCAAACUCUUGCUGAAGAACAGCCAACUAUUGAUUAAGGCUCAUGACAAAAGGAAAGAUAUAAAAAACAAAACCGAGGAGUGUCAUUCUGGCAUGUACUGAAGGAGUCCACAUGGGUGGAAAAGGAAAGAUAAUGUCAAGUUCCAGACAACUUGAAAGCUGGGUUUACUGAGCCGAGUGGUGAGAACACUCACAUUUUAGGUCAACCGUGGUAAAUUUGUUAUAGCAUCAGCCCAGUCACACCUGGAGAAAAAUUAGUGUCUCAUUAUUUAUUCAGAGCAUCCCCAUUUUUUCAGAAGUUGUAUUAUUAGAAACACGCGUUCCAAAGAUGCAGGCUUUCUGGUAACUGUGAUUUACAGUUAUCACUAUGCAUGUUUCCAGUUAACAGCAGGUUCUCUUGCUAAAAAGCACACAUACAGCGCUGCACUUAGUUAAUAAGAAAUGGAAUAAAAAAUGGAUGAAAAUGAUCUCUUUUUAAGACACAUGUCUGUUUUCCCUGCUUUUGUGAAAUCAAAGCAUCAAAGAAAGAAAUCUUCUUUUCAGUGACUCACUGGCAACCUAUUAGCAUAUUUGCCUAUGUCCCUGUCAGCCACUCUUACAUCAACACUUUCACAAAAGCUACCUACUGCAGACUGGUGUCUGCUCUGGCUAGCUUGCUGGUCACCAUCGUGAUAUAAUCUCCUUCCAAAGCAAUUUAAUUAGCACAGGGAAAGAAAUGACCUUUCUCAAGUUUUUAUUUUUUCCACUAGGCUAAAUAUAUCUCACUGAAUAUGUCAAUAGUAUCCUUGAUGCACACAGCACUCCAAUACCCUGUUGUAAGGAAAAAAGAAUUUUAAAGCACUAAUUUUAUAGGUAAUGAGGAAAAUAAGCUUUUUAAUGUCCUUUGAAAUAGGCAAAGCUAUUUGGAAUGCAGAACUGUUGAGAAAGUCCUUAGGUGAAUGGAUUGUAGAUAAUAAUAUGCCAUGCUUCUUGCACUUUAUAGUAACAGAUAUUGUGAAUAAUGGCUAUUACAAGGCAUUUUACAAAAGUACUCUGAUUUAUUUUCCAUCAUUCAUGGAUCAGAAGGCACAGAAAACUGAACAAAGUCCAAAUACUUUUGCUGAAGUCCAUCUCACAAGCUGUCCAUCUCACAGAUCUUGCCUGCAAGGACACUCCUGAAAUUUCUUUAUUCAUAAUUUAUUAAUUCCAUCCUUGCCUGGACUGCAAAAGCAUCAGCUGAUGUUUUACAGUGUGCUGAGCAUCUCUGCGUAGCAGCUAUAAAGACGCAGCUAUUCCCAGUGCAGUACUUGCCCGGUUCCUUGCCAGAGCCCAACCAGCACUGCACAUUUUUCCUGCUCACCAACUCCCAUAGAAAAAUAAAACCCGAGGGUCCUCAGACCCUGCUGCUGCCACUGAUGUGGACUAAGAAAUAUCCACCCCAGCAAGUGCAAAUGACAGUCCUACCUAUGUCUGCAUUUACAGUCCGUGUCUAACAGUAGAAAGAGCACAGAGGUUCAGGCUCAUAAGAAGACAGAACUUGAUUGGUAAGUAUGUGGGAAGUAUUUCUUCCAAUGAAAAUGCUUCUUCCUCAGAUGUUUAAAAAGAAAGAAAGGCAAGCAAUUAUUUUAAAGCAAUACACAGUCCAGACAUGAGCUAAAUAAAUGUGAUUUCUUGCAAUCAAGUGCCCUCUCACGAUCAGUAGUACUUUCUUGUUGAAUUGCUUAGUCUGCAAGGCUGACAAGGAAAAUGAAACAUACUGUGUGCACUAAAAAAUGGUUAUCCUCUUUGGCUGCUUUAUUUUUAAUAUCUUCUUGUGAAAUAAAGCAGCAGCUACUCACUCUGUCUAGUCAGGAUUAGUUUCAGCUUUCUAAGCAGGUAGUAAGAAGGUAAAUCUGAACUCAGAAAGGUUGUAUCGUCUUUGUGGUUUUUUUCCAUCACCAAGGAGUGGAGGAAGGACAAAAUUUGGUGUGCGCUCAGAUGCAGUCCUGCAGACUUUGUUUGCUCUUGUCAUUCUUCCCAUUACACUUUCAGUUAGCUUUGCUCUGUGGUUGUACAGUUAUUCAAGAUAUCAACCAUCUGAAUAGGAACUUCAGAUUAACUAGAAGAGCAUUAUUUCAGCUAAAAGCUGGCAGUCUGUGUUUGUUCCCUGCUGCCUGCCUCUGAGCCAUCUCCUUAAGCGCUGGUUGGCUCCUCAGAAGUUCAAAAGCUACAAAAGCUACACAAAAGCUACAUCCCUCCCAGGCAUGGAGACUUGGCCUUACCUCAAAGGAUGGGUACUAGACUUCGAUAACAAUAGAAUGAUCAUUUCUCCUCACCUCUUCCUUUUCUAGGUAACAGAAUAUCGGUCAGGUCUCUGCAGUCACUUGGCCAAGAUGAAGUGAGCAGAAUGUCCUCUCACCGUGACUGUGAUGGAUAAUGCUUCUGUUUGACUUCUCCUGAAUAGUGCAUGCGCUAUUACACACUUGGAAUCCUUAUAUUCUCUGGCAGCUGUAAGAAGACUGCAAACUGUAGCUCCUCAUGCAGCCUACCAGUCUUUUUGUAUGAAGACUUGUUUGCUGAAUGUUGCCCAUCAAACAUGUGCGGGUGAUUGCACUAUAUACCACCUUACAAUUUUAUGUGUGUAUGUGUGUGUAACUCCACAUGCAUGCACAUACCCUGAUACGCAUGUACAUACACAGAAAGAAGGCAAAAAUACUCUAGAAAUUAUCUUUUUUUUUUUCAUAGGAGUUUAUGUGAAUUAUUUUUCCUUAUUUGUGUUUCAGUUUGUUUGAGCUGUACAUUACAACAGAUUUAGGCAGUGUUAUUUUUAAGACACAGCAUCCUGCUUAGAAAAGUUAGCUAGAAGUACGGACAGGAUGAGAUCCACUUUAUGGGUGAAGUUAGUGUGGCUUUUCUCCUCCAUCCUUUUCAGAUCUCUUAAAUACCAUUUCUUUCCAAACUGGAUUAGAAAGGAAGUUGAGUUGAAGCACAGAUCUGCUGCUACAACUAAAAUACAGUAUGCAUCUCCUCCAGUUCCUGGUUGUGCCGUAGUGUGUGUGACUGUGACCAGAAGCAAAAGCUCCCUGAGUCUCUAAUUGCCAAGUAUAACAUGAGGUACGGAUUGAAUAAAAUCUAUGAAUUCUGGGAGCACUCAUCUACUGCAGCACUAAGGGCCAUGGAAAUACCCAGAUGGAAUAUGCACACCAGGAAAAUGGCAAAAUGCCAAACAUAAAGGGGCUAAAUGGUAGGAAAAGAAAGUGGAUCCAAGCUUUCAAUAAAUAAUUAUAACUUUUGGUAAGAGGAAGAGAAGAUAUUAAAGGUCAGAACUCUGUGUCAUGCCCAUGUAAGUUAUAGGAGUGACUCAUGCUAACUUCGCCUCAGCACCAUAAAACUAGCACUGAGCACAACAGCCUUCUGUUCAAUCUGCGGUUCUUUUAUAAUGCCCUUUUCUUUUUACUCUUUAGUGAGACACUGGGAAUAAAACAGCGCUAUUAAGGUUGGAAAAGGUCUCUGAGAACAUCUAGUCCAACUGCCCACCUAGCAUGACGUUAUAUUGCAAUUCUUUCUUUGGCUUUUGCACAGCUUUGAAAACCUAAGCGCAGGUGAGGCAGAGAAGCACUCAGAAUUCUUUGCCCAGAGACAAUAAUAGCCACUUCAGUGCUUGGACAGACGCAAGGCUUGUGCAGAUAAGGAAGGUGACAUCCUGCCUGCUUCGUGAGAAGAGCCUCUGCUGACUUCAUACCACCCGGAAGCAGUCACUGGUUCCAGCCCCACUUCCUGCUGGGUCCUGCACCGUCCUUAACAGCACCAGCAGGCACUUACAGGUGGGAUACAGAGCUCCUGCCCACCUGGUCCUGCUGUCAGCAACUGUCUUUUGUGGUGGCAUUGCCCUCAGCACAGAAGGUUAUACAGUAAUCUGCCUCCUAAAACUGCCACUGUUAUGGCUGGUAAAAUGGGUCCAUUUAACCAGAGCAAGUGCUGAAUUCUGCACCCAAGAAAGGGCAGUUCUGGCUAUACAUAUGGACUGGGGGGAUGAGAUGCUGGAGAGCAGCACCACAGAAAGGGAUCAGGGUGUUCUGGCUGAUGGUAAGCCAAACAUGAGGCAGCAGUGUGCCCUGGAGUCCAAAGGGCCAACCAUACCCUGGGGUGCAGCAGGCCCAGUGCUGCUACCGGGCAAGGGAGCAUCUGGGCAGUGCCCUCAGACACAGGGUUUGGGUCCUCUGUGUCCUUUCCAACUGGGGGUAUUCUGUGAUACUGUGAUCCUUUUGGGUCCCUUUCAACUCAGGAUAUUCUAUGGCUAUAAUUCUGCUUUUUUUUUUUUUUUUUUUUUUAAUCAGGAAAAGGACAUUUUUUUACACGAAAAGGAAAUCUUUGUAUUUUCAGUAUAUCCAAACCUGAUCACAUUCUUUUGAUUUCUGUGGCUAUUUCGUCAGGGUUAUACAGCC
ensembl:lncRNA